rnacentral:rRNA from 1 species
UGGGGAAUAUUGCACAAUGGGCGCAAGCCUGAUGCAGCGACGCCGCGUGAGGGAUGACGGCCUUCGGGUUGUAAACCUCUGUUAGCAGGGAAGAAGAGAGAUUGACGGUACCUGCAGAGAAAGCGCCGGCUAACUACGUGCCAGCAGCCGCGGUAAUACGUAGGGCGCGAGCGUUGUCCGGAAUUAUUGGGCGUAAAGAGCUUGUAGGCGGUUUGUCGCGUCUGCUGUGAAAGGCCGGAGCUUAACUCCGUGUAUUGCAGUGGGUACGGGCAGACUAGAGUGCAGUAGGGGAGACUGGAAUUCCUGGUGUAGCGGUGGAAUGCGCAGAUAUCAGGAGGAACACCGAUGGCGAAGGCAGGUCUCUGGGCUGUAACUGACGCUGAGAAGCGAAAGCAUGGGGAGCGAACAGGAUUAGAUACCCUGGUAGUCCAUGCCGUAAACGUUGGGCACUAGGUGUGGGGGACAUUCCACGUUUUCCGCGCCGUAGCUAACGCAUUAAGUGCCUCGCCUGGGGAGUACGGCCGCAAGGCUA